rnacentral:rRNA from 1 species
UACGGGAGGCAGCAGUAAGGGAUAUUGGUCAAUGGGCGGAAGCCUGAACCAGCCAUGCCGCGUGAGGGGAUGAGGCCCUACGGGUCGUGAACCUCUUUUGCGCGGGGACAAUAGCGGGCACGGGAUGCCCGCCAGAGGGUACCGCGCGAAUAAGCGCCGGCUAACUCCGUGCCAGCAGCCGCGGUAAU